UACAGAGGUCCCAAGCGUUGUUCGGAUUCACUGGGCGUAAAGGGUGCGUAGGUGGUGAGGUAAGUCGGAUGUGAAAUCUCCGGGCUCAACCUGGAAACUGCAUUGGAAACUACCUUGCUUGAGGAUUUGAGGGGGGAUUGGAAUACUUGGUGUAGCAGUGAAAUGCGUAGAUAUCAAGUGGAACACCAGUGGCGAAGGCGAAUCCCUGGAAAAUACCUGACACUGAGGCACGAAAGCUAGGGGAGCAAACAGG
rnacentral:rRNA from 1 species